AGAGUUGAUCAUGGCUCAGGACGAACGCUGGCGGCGUGCUUCAUACAUGCAAGUCGAACGAGAAUCUGACUUCGGUCAGAGGAAAGUGGCGGACGGGUGAGUAAAAUGUAGAGAAUCUGCCCUUAAGCGGGGGACAACAGUUGGAAACGACUGCUAAUACCCCAUAUGCGCGUAGCUGAGAUGCUAUUCGUAGAAACUCCGGUGCUUAAGGAUGAGUCUGCAUCUGAUUAGCUAGUAGGCGGUGUAAUGGACCACCUAGGCGACGAUCAGUAGCUGGUUUGAGAGGAUGAUCAGCCACAAUGGACUGAGACACGGCCCAUACUCCGUACGGGAGGCAGCAGGUAAGGGUAAUUUUGCGCAAGUACGGGGGAAACCCUGACGACAGACAACGCCGCGUGUAUUAGAAAGAACGUCCCGUUCGGGGUAGUAAAGAUCUGUCAGUGGGGACGAAACUUGACGGUACCCACAGAGGAAGCAUCGGCUAACUCCGUGCCAGCCGCCGC
rnacentral:rRNA from 1 species